rnacentral:lncRNA from 1 species
UUUCUUUCACACACAAAUGAGAUUUUGGACCCUAAAAAAGAACCAAAAAGCUUCUAUAUUGCUUGAUUAAGAAAUUAGCAAGACCAUUUCUAAUUUUCUAUUUUAGUAAGAGUCUAGAAGAAUCUCUGCGGGAUUUCUGGUUUCUGGGUUUAAACAUGGUCUAAGGAAGCUAAAUAUUGUUAUUGAUUUGCUGCUUUGCUUAUACUUCUGCUCUUGCUGAGAUCCUCACUCCAUUUUUACUUUGUUUUUAUAUCCAGGUACUUCUUGGACCAUGAAGAAUAUGUGAAGUGCAAGCAUAGUUUCCAGUUGAAAUAUAUAGCUGAAAAUGUGAAGAUCUAAUGCUAAAUAUUGCCAUAUGCACCAGCUUCUUCCAAGUUUAUCUCGCCUCUUUAUUAGUUUUAGCUUUCUGCAGCUCUUAUGUAGUUUGUUCUGGGGUUUGUUUAAUGGCCACUCGCUGAAUGGGAAAUGUUAUACGUGAAGGUUUAGUUUAAUUCAUUGUUAUGAAACAUUCAAAAUUUCAAAUUAGUAUAUAAGGUUCUGGUAACCUAUGUGUGAAAAAGAUGUAAGAUCAUGAAUCAUGCAUGCUUAAAAGGAUAGUAUUUAACAUGUAUAUUUUCAGAACUUCAGCCUUAAUAGAAUAAUUAUAUGUAAUAGUAUGAUUAAUAAGUAGUUUUUCUAGGCUCAUGUUGUUAGUAUUAAUAGUAACACAAUAUUUUAAAGGUUUACAAUGUGGUUGCUUCGAUUUUGUGAUUUUCAGAACUCGUAUGUUGUGUUGUUUGUGUGUGAAUUAUAGCUAGUUGGGCCUCAUUAGGGCCUUAGUGUUGGAAGUAUCUUUGCCAAAAUGUGUAGAAUUCGGGGCUAGACCAAAUGGGGACACAUGGAUCGUGUCUAAGUUCGCUUGGUUUUAGUUGUUUCUAUUCCUUUAUUUGGGCUCAAUCUCGAGCCCAACCUUCGUCAGCUCUUAUUUUCCCAAAAUAUCUUAUCUUGAGUAGUGCAUUGGGUCUGUUGUUGGCCCAAGAUUAUUCAAU